GGCUGCAGUCGAGGAUCUUCGGCAAUGGGCGCAAGCCUGACCGAGCGACGCCGCGUGGAGGAUGAAGGCCUUCGGGUUGUAAACUCCUGUCGAGGGGGAGGAAGGGGAAACCUUGACCGAUCCCUGGAGGAAGCACGGGCUAAGUUCGUGCCAGCAGCCGCGGUAAGACGAACCGUGCGAACGUUAUUCGGAAUCACUGGGCUUAAAGCGCGUGUAGGCGGAUGGGAACGUCGGAUACUGAAAGCCCCCGGCUCAACCGGGGAAGUGGUUCCGAAACGACCUGUCUGGAGGGACGUAGGGGGAUCUGGAACUUCCGGUGGAGCGGUGAAAUGCGUUGAGAUCGGAAGGAACGCCCGUGGCGAAAGCGAGGUCCUGGACGUCUGCUGACGCUGAGACGCGAAAGCUAGGGGAGCAAACGGGAUUAGAUACCCUGGUAGUCCUAGCCGUAAACGAUGGGCACUGGGUAGGGGGCUCGCCGAUGGGCUCUCUGCCGUAGCGAAAGCGUGAAGUGCCCCGCCUGGGGAGUAUGGUCGCAAGGCUGAAACUCAAAGGAAUUGACGGGGGCUCACACA
rnacentral:rRNA from 1 species